GGCGGCGUGCUUAACACAUGCAAGUCGAACGAUGAAGCCCCUUCGGGGGUGGAUUAGUGGCGAACGGGUGAGUAACACGUGGGCAAUCUGCCCUGCACUCUGGGACAAGCCCUGGAAACGGGGUCUAAUACCGGAUACGACCAUCUGAGGCAUCUCAUGGUGGUGGAAAGCUCCGGCGGUGCAGGAUGAGCCCGCGGCCUAUCAGCUUGUUGGUGAGGUAACGGCUCACCGAGGCGACGACGGGUAGCCGGCCUGAGAGGGCGACCGGCCACACUGGGACUGAGACACGGCCCAGACUCCUACGGGAGGCAGCAGUGGGGAAUAUUGCACAAUGGGCGCAAGCCUGAUGCAGCGACGCCGCGUGAGGGAUGACGGCCUUCGGGUUGUAAACCUCUUUCAGCAGGGAAGAAGCGUGAGUGACGGUACCUGCAGAAGAAGCGCCGGCUAACUACGUGCCAGCAGCCGCGGUAAUACGUAGGGCGCAAGCGUUGUCCGGAAUUAUUGGGCGUAAAGAGCUCGUAGGCGGCUUGUCGCGUCGGAUGUGAAAGCCCGGGGCUUAACUCCGGGUCUGCAUUCGAUACGGGCAGGCUAGAGUUCGGUAGGGGAGAUCGGAAUUCCUGGUGUAGCGGUGAAAUGCGCAGAUAUCAGGAGGAACACCGGUGGCGAAGGCGGAUCUCUGGGCCGAUACUGACGCUGAGGAGCGAAAGCGUGGGGAGCGAACAGGAUUAGAUACCCUGGUAGUCCACGCCGUAAACGUUGGGAACUAGGUGUGGGCGACAUUCCACGUUGUCCGUGCCGCAGCUAACGCAUUAAGUUCCCCGCCUGGGGAGUACGGCCGC
rnacentral:rRNA from 1 species